UUUCGAUUCUCUUGCGGUAUUAAACGUAUUAAAAAAACAGGUCUGAGGAAUGCGUCAGAAUGUCUAAGCCUAAUUAUCGCGAAUUAUGAGCACAAAGAAAGAUUUUCACAUAUUUAUAAUAAAGAAAACACAUUCUGAUUCGUUUAAUUCUUUGUUACAGUUACGAAAAAAAGAAAGAAACACUGAUUUAUUCGAUUAAUCCCAAAUAAUACUUGAAGUACAUCAUGAUAACUAGUAUCUGAUAAUAACCUGGCGAAAGUCAUUCCAAAAUCCCAAAUCAACAAAGAUAAUAGAGAACAGAGAGUUUUUCAAACAGCAAUAUAAAAGUUUCUACGAAACGAGAAAGACAGUAAGCUCAUAAUUUGCCAACGACUUGCUAAUAAGUAUACCGCGAAUUUCUAUGCGAAUUCAUAUCUCUGAACAUAUAAUUAAAAAAAUAGAACCUCGGGAAAAUUCACGGGAAGCUUCACCCAUCGUGUCACAGAGAAGCAUAUUUCAUGAACAUUUCAUAUUUAUUAUCUCUUUUUUCAUAUUUUUUGUAUCUUAUUUAUUUUUUCAUAUUAUGUGCAUUCCAUGGAAUUUUGCACUUUCAAAUUUCCUACGUAUAAAUGCAUAAAAAUUCGCAGUCUAUUAAUAAGGUUCGUACGAAAGAUCAUCGACAUAGAGGGCAGGCACGGUCGUUACUACGACGAGAACAGAGAAAAUGAUCGUAAAUUAUGACACUUAAUUAACGUAAUCGGGCUACAAAGCUUUACGAAGUUGCUUGAAUCGCCACGAAUACACGAACCAGCAGCUCCUACGCGUGUAAGUAGGUAGGCCGCGCUGAUAAGGCUUAUCUAGCGCGCGCCACGCCGUAGCUGAGUUUGCAUAUCAAUGGGAGUUCUUAAGAAUAGACACUCGCGUGUCGCAUUCAGCCGGCACUCACGCGCGUUAAUUCGCGCGAUUACAAGCUGUUGUUGACUUUCAGUCUCGCGUUUCUUUCGGUCCGAUUGCACGAGCGCCAUUCUCAGCAGAAGGGAAACUUCGGAGACUGUGAAAUAGUUACGCUGCUAGCGUGAGAAAUCGGUGAAAUUCGUUCUUAACUCGUUGAGUUAUGUUCUUAUUAUGAACGUACAAACGUCCGUAUCAAUCGUUAACGUUGUUCUUCUUUAAUAUAGCGUGGGAGAAGUCAUUUUUUGAUAGAAAAUAAAUAAGUCACUUGGAGAUUAAGCCGAUCGAUUCAAUUUUCUGAAGAUCUCUUAACUUUGGUAUAAUAAUACACGAUUAAUUCAGACAUGUUCAAAAUUUUGUGGUAUUUUUUAAAUAACGUAGUUUUUCUUUCAUGUAAGCUGAAAGUCUAUCAAUUUACUGAUUAAAUUCUGUAUCAGUUUGUUUCUUGAAAGAUGGCUAUCUUUCUAGAAUGAUGUUGAGCAGCGAAUAGUGUUGAGAAAUCGCAAAAUAAAAUUACAAGUAAAUUAAGCAUGAUAGACACAUCUGGGUUAACGUUAACACGCGAUUAACCUCGAUAAAAUCAACUAACUUGGCUUCUGUGAGGUUCAAAUAGAAAUUGUUUGAAAAAAAAAAUUAAUUUAUAAAUGAGAAGGAUCGGUAAUUCGAAUAAAUCGGACGUAAUCUAAAUCUUCUACGCUACUUUUUACGACCUUCUUCCAAAUGAAAAUAUUUUUUAAAUCUUUUAACACUUUCGGUCUGAAUCUAAACUAUUCGAUUAUCUUCCUUCUCUCGAUGGUUUUCCGAUGAAACAGGUGGUUACUGAAUAACAUAUACACAUACCGAUGUAACACGUUGUGUAGUAUCUACACUCCGGACUUAUCGAUCUGUUGAAAUUUCUUAAACAGUCAGAAUCUUAGAAAGCGAAACGGAAUAUUAAAGUCGCAACAGAAUCUUUGUCAGUGGAUUCGCUUUUACUGACUGACUUAGAAAGUAAUAUACAUAAUUUAAAGCUAAUUUCCCGAGGUUUGAAGACUAUAUCAGACUAUUUUCACAAUCACUUUGAGAAAGCGAUCGUGAAAGUAGUCCAAGCAAAAGUUUAACGAAACUUAAAUCUAUCAGCCGCUUUACAUUCCACUGACAAGUGACUGAACAUUCAAUUAAUUCAUAGAUUUCUAAAAAUAUUGUCCAAAUUUCAGUUCCUCAAAAAUUUCCUGAAAUAUCCAAAUAUCCUUUGAACUCAUUAACAUAGAACUUAAAAUACCUCUAAAAAAAAAAGGAAGAAGAAAAGAAAGAAAAAUCACAAACUCUUCUAUGUAACCAUAUGCCAAACCCCAUUGUCCACCGUAAGUCCCAUCGUCAAGAAUUCCAGUCCUAUCGCAAAAACAUUGCCGCGAGACGCUUAUGAACACAGAAACAGAAGCAACCCGUGUACAUUUUCAGUUCGAAUUUCGCCAACACGUGGCAUCCUCACAGGUGUCGUUCUAUUCGUCGUUCCACGUUAAAAGUCGCAAAUGAUUUUUUCUCGUUAUCGGCUGCACGGAAACCGUUAUAGUCUGGAGCGUGGGAUUAUUGUUCGAGUGGACGUACUUAUAUGGCCUCGCUGUUAUUCUUAAUACGACGUUGCAUCUCGUUGGCGAUAAAAACGGCGAGCGUUCGCGUUAAUAAACAAUAAUGACACGUUGAACCAGUUCAUGUCAGGCCAUGAGCCGCACGGUAAUUUGCAUUUGCUGUAAUUGCGAUUCAGAGCGGCGCUCGCCACUGUUCCAAGCCAAGCCUAGCCCGUCUAUCGGCGUCGAUUUUCUGUCUUACGAUCGCGGUACCCGCGUUUUCCGACGACAUUUCAACGCUUUCGAGCGUUAAAUUUUCAUGCAAACUGCCCGCGCCUGUAACUCGAGCUGGCAAGGAUUCUUGAAAAUGUGAUUUGUCCGUAUACACUCGUACUUUCCCAUACCGAUCAUGGUACAAGAGCAUGGUUUACGAGCGCAGCUAGGGCAUGUUUUACUCCGCCUCACCGGUAAGAACCGGAAUGAGAGUUCGUUAACGCGAAUUUAUUACGAAAAUUGUUUAUAGGCUUUAAUUAUGCGAUUGCAAGAAGUGCAUUAAUCGUUAUAGAGAUUAUAAAUACGUAAGAUGCUUAUUAUCGUUCACGCUAUUAGUCGUCAGCGUUCUUUUUCUAAGUGGUAGAUUUGCAAAAAACACAGAAGAGGAUAAAGGUUUGUUAUUUUGAAAUACGGCAAAUAGACCUUUUAAACAUUUAUCGCGACUUUUGCAUGAUAGCGAGGCUACGAAUAUUGCCAUUUCUAUUAUGAGUUGUACGCUGUUUACGACUUUACCAACUGUUUCUCUAGCGUUAUAAAAUUAUUUACGUUUCAGGGGAAUAUGAAAGAAUCAUUGAUAUAUGUAUAUAUAUGUAUAUUUGAUAUAAUAAUUAACGUAAUACUUAAUAUAUAUGUAUUUCUUUUAAACGUCAUGCUAAAGUUUUUCUUAAGGUAUCGAAUGUCUCCUUACUUGUUGAACGUGAGGACAUAAAAAUUCGAAGACCAUAGCAGUGAUCAACUGAUGAGCAAGAGUUGGAGGAUGAUCGUGAUUAUACGAUACGGAGAAGAUUUGUCGAGUCAUCGAGCCUAUAAUUAAUAGCUUAUUAGGAAUUAUUACGUACGAUGGAAGUGUUGAGAAAGGAACGAAUUUUAAGAUCGUGAUAAAGAUAGUACUUCGAUGAAGCGGUAAAGCACUUUUUAUCCGCCACCUGGUAGUUAGCGGAUAGAGCCUUAAAAAUUAUUUAUGUCGGAUAAUUAAAAUCGAAUGGAAAUCAGUCGCAGUAAACUCUGUUGUAAAUAGGCGUUAAUUUCUGUCUGCGAAUCGAUGAACAGUUUGUUACGAUGUCUGAUGACACGAGUUUAUAAAUAGGAUAAACGUUUGUUUUUAAGCAUCUUAAAUCGCCGUAUUUAUUUAUACAGAUAAAACUCAAUGUUUCGUGAGCAUAUUAAAUUUCUUUAUCUCGUCGUACGGAGUCCGUUAAAGGAGAAAUUUACCAUUUUCGAAAACAUAUGCAACGAUCCUGUGCAAACGUUUCGUAAAUUGUAAACGUAACUCAAGUACAGUAUAUAAUUUUGCAAACGUAAUAAUACAAUAUAAUAACGUCAAUUUGCAAUUGUAAUUUCAGUGCCAUUUGUAGACGCACGCUUGUUGUUGACUUUAAAAUCUUGACCUUCGAAACUUUUCCGCUCUAUUCCGCUCAAAAUUCAUUCUACAUAAUUAAAUUAUAUAGUAUACUAGAGUACUUUUAAAUAUUUGCCUUACUUUGCUAGAUUACAGAUCUUUACGAGCAUCGAAUUUCUUAUUUACCGCGUGUUUAAGGAAACGUUAUGAUUUAAAAAUUACGCCUCCAAGUUUCUCCAUUUUUUCCUAUAAUAAUAUCUCAAUUCCAUUAUUAGGCCUCUAUAAUUUCGUGCGACAUAGAUCAUACAUCCAUAUUUCCUAAAUCAUAUUUCAUUAUGCUCACAUAUAGCUGUAUAUCAUUACUUACAUUUUACAUAUUGCUGUAUCAUUACACUGAUAGCAAGCGAUCUACAUCGUAAUUAUUAGUCUUUGAUUUUCAGAUCAAAGUGAGAGAACGUAAUGAAUCAUAAUUUGCCUCUUGCAAGCAAGUGAAAUUCCAAAGUUACGAACAAUCAAUCUCCAAUAUAAAACUGUUAUAAUUUAUCAUUUCUAGGAUGGUAAACGCAUGGAAAUCGAGAAACUCGGCCGACAUGGUAACGCGUAGGUUUUCGAACCUUGGGACGAAAGAGGAAGCAAAACGCGCGGGUGACAGUCAUAAAAGGUCGUUCAUGAAUAUGCAGGACGAAAACUCAAGAAGCGAAAUGAGUAAUAGGGAAGGUAUAAUGAGAUGCUGAUUAUGAUGUAAGCAGUUUAUCCAGGCAUAAUGAUUCGGGGAGCAGAUUGUGACCAAUGAAUGCCUUCACUUUCUACCUUUACACCCAUUGUACGCGGCAUUGUCGACCAAUGCAACACGAUUGUUCACGACUCUACCGAUGUCUGACCUUUUGCACAUGAUAUUUAUAAGAUUUGCUGUACGAGACGACCGUGACUUUAAGUGAGGUCGUUAUGCAAAUUACGCGUCCUUACAUUUAUUAUAUCUGCUAAAUUAAUCAGAAUUAUUGAACGAGCCAACGAUUCUGCUAGAGCUUUAGGCAAGUUAUCGCUUUCUGCUAGUGACGCAUACGACGUGUUGAUUCAAUUUUAUCUUAAUUAUUGUUGCAUUUUAAUUUUAAAUACCUAAUAACGUCGACGUAGCUACCAUGUUUCGAAAUUUAGACGUUUCGACGAGAGGGCAACAAAAUAGCGAACAAUUUACAUACGUUAGAGCAAAUAUUAUUUGAAUAAUAAUAUUUCAUUGUUUGUGACACGCAUAAACGAUAUUAUCGCAUAUUAUUAUCAAAUGUUACUUGACUAAAGAUGAAUAUUGGUGAAAAAUAUAUCAGAACAAGGAAAGUUUUUAGACGAACAGGAAGGAAGCACUCGUAUUUCUAACUGCGAUAGGAAAAACUGAGCUCCGAAAUAAGAGCAAAGCUAACGUUCAGCAUAAAAGAAGCAGUCUCUCUUCUAUUUGACGUAAUUACGACGUGAAAGUUAUUUAGUGAAAAAAAGAAACUAAUCGCACAAUUGUUAGCUUGAGAAUUAUUUUUCACAAUGGAAAUAACCGUACUUCGAACCAUUUUUAUAACUGUUACCUCGCCAAAUUAAAACACCUGUUCGCCUCUAACAUUAUAGUAAUUUUAUAUUUCUAAUUAAAAUCUCACUUGAGUAAAAAAAAAAAAAAAUAGAUUCAAACGUAUUAUAAUUUCUUUAUACUAUCGCGAAAUGUUUCAUUUAUUUAAAAUAUUUAUUUGAUUUAAAUGUAAUCUUUAUUUGUUACAGUCAUUAAAUAUUGCCUUUAAUAUGUUUCGGUACUUUGAAAAUCGUGAAUAGCAUAAUAAAUUGCCAAUUCGAAGAUAAUUAUUCUACCGAACGACUUUCAUAGCCAGCUACUCCUGAUUUUAUUUAAAAUAUCAAUGAAGUUCGUUUUGAGAUUAAGUUUCAUUUAAUAACAUACUGACGAGGUAUAUCAAUAUGUUUUGAUUUAUUCAUUGAAUUACUCGAUCGGUUAAGAGAAAUGAUUAGAAAUUAAGACACGAUUAAACGCGCGUAAAAGCGUAUAAUUAUAUCGUUUAAUGUGCUAACGUGUCGAAAUAUACAACAUUUGAUAAAUUUUCUGAUAGUCUAUUGAUACAAGCAUUCGGUCGAUUUAAUUUAUUCUUGGCAUAGAAUUGUCACGCGUUUAACAAGAACGAUAACAGUACGCUUAUAAGAUUUGUGGUACAGUGACUUGGAUUUGCAUACUGGGUCGACGUGAUAUCUUAAUCGUACUUCACAAUAAGCGUACUUAAAAGCUGCGACUAAAAUUCGCUUGACAUUCGACACAUAGUUUCAUGCGACUUACAUAUUCAUACGAUAACUAUAAAUAAACUGAGCAGGAAAAUGUUUGCAUUUUAAAAUUGCUUCGUAGUUAUUUACGCGUAUGGCCACCUUGUUUGUCCUAUUGAAUGUAAUAAAAAAAUUGGA